rnacentral:rRNA from 1 species
UGAUACGCUUGUCUCAAAGAUUAAGCCAUGCACGCCUCAGUACUUACUCUUGUACAGUGAAACCGCGAACGGCUCAUUAAAUCAGUUAUGGUUCCUUAGAGCCAGUACUUGAGAAGGAUAACUCUGGCAAACUGGAGCUAAUACAUGCAUUAAACGGAGCCCUAGGUUCUGUGCUCUUAUUAGAUCAAAACCAGUGCUGGUUGAUGACUCCAGAUAAUAUUGCCAACCACUGCUAGCUUUACUGCUAGGUGGUGUAUCUUUCAAAUGUCUGCCCUAUCAAUUGCUGAUGGUAGUUAACCUGCCUACCAUGAUAGUAACGGGUAACGGAGAAUCAGGGUUUGACUCCGGAGAGGGAGCCUGAGAAAUGGCUGCCACCUCUAAGGAAGGCAGCAGGCGCGCAAAUUACCCACUCCCAGCUUGGGGAGGUAGUGACGAGAAAUUACAAUGCUGGGCAUAAUAUUGCUUAGUAAUUGUCUUGAGUGUGAUUUAAAAUGCUACUCAAGGAUCUAUUGGAGGGCAAGUCUGGUGCCAGCAGCCGCGGUAAUUCCAGCUCCAAUAGCGUAUAUUAAAGUUGUUGCGGCUAAAAAGCUCGUAGUUGGAUCUCAAGGCACUGGCUCUAGCUGGCCAUGGUUGUCAGUCUAGUGCUCAGGCCUUUAUUCUCACUUGGUCUAGUGUGCUCUUAACUGAGUGUGCUAGUUUACCGGUGGGACGUUUACUUUGAGGAAAUGAGAGUGCUCAGAGCAGGCAUUUGCCUGAAUCUUAGUGCAUGGAAUAAUGGAAUAUGACCUUUGGUUAGUUUUGCUGGUUUUUCCCAACCAGGUAAUGAUAAAUAGGGACAGACGGGGCCGUUCGUACUGCUGCGUUAGAGGUGAAAUUCUUAGAUCGCAGCAAGACGACCAAAAGCGAAAGCAAUCGGCAAGUAUGUCCUCAUUAAUCAAGAACGAAAGUCGGAGGUUCGAAGGGGAUCAGAUACCCCCCUAGUUUCGACCAUAAACGAUGCCAACUAGGAACCAGUCAACGUUGCUCUGUUGACCUGACUGGGUCCUCUCGGGAAGCCCAAGUGUUUGGGUUCCGGGGGAAGUAUGGUUGCAAAGCUGAAACUUAAAGGAAUUGACGGAAGGGCACCACCAGGAGUGGAGCCUGCGGCUUAAUUUGACUCAACACGGGAAAUCUCACCUAGCCCGGACACUGUUAAGAUUGACAGGCUAAAAGCCCUUUCAUGAUUCAGCGGAUAGUGGUGCAUGGCCGUUCUUAGUUCGUGGAGUGAUUUGUCUGGUUAAUUCCGGUAACGAACGAGACUCAUUCCUGCUAACUAGCCGCCUGCUGGCUCUUGCCAGUUGGGUGAAAUUAGCUUCUUAGAGGAACUGGGGGCUUGGAAGCCUCACGAAAUUGAGCAAUAACAGGUCUGUGAUGCCCUUAGAUGUUUAGGGCUGCACGCGCGCUACAAUGAGCAGGUCAACAUGCUGUACUGGGCUGGAAACAGCUUGGGAACCAUGUGAAUCCUGCUCGUGACUGGGAUAGAGAAUUGCAAUUAUUUUUCUUGAACGAGGAAUUCCCAGUAAACGCAAGUCAUAAGCUUGCAUUGAUUACGUCCCUGCCCUUUGUACACACCGCCCGUCGCUAGUAGCGAUUGAUGGCUUAGCGAGGAUCCUGGACUGGUUGGCUUCAUUAUUGUUGCUGGCUGGGAAGAGAUUCUAGCUAUGCUAUUGAGAGCAACUAAAAGUCGUAACAAGGUAUCC